GAGCGCGGCUGCGGACGAAGAUAGCGACCGCCAUGUACUUGGAGCACUAUCUGGACAGCAUCGAGAACCUUCCCUGCGAACUUCAGAGGAACUUCCAGCUGAUGCGAGAGCUGGACCAGAGGACGGAAGAUAAGAAAGCAGAGAUUGACAUCCUGGCUGCAGAGUACAUCUCCACGGUGAAGACGCUGUCUCCAGACCAGCGCGUAGAGCGCCUGCAGAAGAUCCAGAACGCCUACAGCAAGUGCAAGGAAUACAGCAAUGACAAAGUGCAGCUGGCCAUGCAGACCUAUGAGAUGGUGGAUAAACACAUUUGAAGGCUUGACGCAGACCUGGCACGCUUCGAAGCUGAUCUGAAGGACAAGAUGGAGGGCAGUGACUUCGAAGGCUCCGGAGGGCGAGGACUAAAAAAAGGCCGGGGUCAGAAAGAAAAAAGAGGGUCCCAGGGCCGAGGCAGGAGGACAUCAGAGGAAGACACACCAAAGAAAAAGAAGCAUAAAGGAGGGUCUGAGUUCACUGACGCCAUCCUGUCCGUGCACCCGUCCGACGUGCUAGACAUGCUCGUGGACCCCAACGAACCCACCUACUGCCUGUGCCACCAGGUCUCCUACGGGGAGAUGAUCGGCUGUGACAAUCCAGACUGUCCAAUUGAGUGGUUUCACUUUGCCUGCGUGGACCUCACCACGAAAUCCAAAGGGAAAUGAUUCACUUAAAUAAAACCGUGUCAUCUGGGCAGCAUCGGGAGACCCCAGCUCCACCAAAAAUACAAAAAUUAGC